rnacentral:rRNA from 1 species
GACGAACGCUGGCGGCGUGCUUAACACAUGCAAGUCGAACGGAAAGGCCCUGCUUUUGUGGCGUGCUCGAGUGGCGAACGGGUGAGUAACAUGUGAGUAACCUGCCCUUGACUUUGGGAUAACUUCAGGAAACUGGGGCUAAUACCGGAUAGGAGCUCCUGCUGCAUGGUGGGGGUUGGAAAGUUUCGGCGGUUGGGGAUGGACUCGCGGCUUAUCAGCUUGUUGGUGGGGUAGUGGCUUACCAAGGCUUUGACGGGUAGCCGGCCUGAGAGGGUGACCGGCCACAUUGGGACUGAGAUACGGCCCAGACUCCUACGGGAGGCAGCAGUGGGGAAUAUUGCACAAUGGGCGGAAGCCUGAUGCAGCAACGCCGCGUGCGGGAUGACGGCCUUCGGGUUGUAAACCGCUUUCGCCUGUGACGAAGCGUGAGUGACGGUAAUGGGUAAAGAAGCACCGGCUAACUACGUG